AAGGAUCAUUACCGAGUCAUCAAACAAGGGUUGUCGCUGGCCCCCCAAACGUGGGGCAUGUGCGCGCCCUGUUUACACACAUCCGCUCACACCUGUGCACCCUUUGUAGUUCUACGUUUGGGAGACCCCGUCUUCCUUCCGCGGCUCUACGUCUUUACACACACUCCGUAGUGAAGUCUCAUGGAAUGUUUUUCUGCGUUUAACGCGAUACAAUACGACUUUCAGCAACGGAUCUCUUGGUUCUCGCAUCGAUGAAGAACGCAGCGAAAUGCGAUAAGUAAUGUGAAUUGCAGAAUUCAGUGAAUCAUCGAAUCUUUGAACGCACCUUGCGCCCCUUGGCCAUUCCUCGGGGCAUGCCUGUUUGAGUAUCAUGAACACUUCAACUCUCAUGGUCUUCCAUGACGAGCUUGGACUUUGUGGGUUUGCUGGCCCUGCAGCCGGCUCCUCUCAAAUGGAUCAGCUUGCCGAUGUUCGGUGGCGACGUGGGUGUGAUAACUGUCUACGCUCGUGGUGUCGUCUGCCAGGUAACCCUCAGCAACGAAGGUUCGUCGGGGCUCACAAACGUCCCUCCUCGCGGGGGACAGCUUUUGAACGUUCGAUCUCAAAUCAGGUAGGACUACCCGCUGAACUUAA
rnacentral:rRNA from 1 species